GACGAACGCUGGCGGCGUGCUUAACACAUGCAAGUCGAGCGAUGAAGUUCCUUCGGGAAUGGAUUAGCGGCGGACGGGUGAGUAACACGUGGGUAACCUGCCUCAUAGAGGGGAAUAGCCUUUCGAAAGGAAGAUUAAUACCGCAUAAGAUUGUAGUAUCGCAUGAUACAGCAAUUAAAGGAGUAAUCCGCUAUGAGAUGGACACGCGUCGCAUUAGCUGGUUGGUGAGGUAACGGCUCACCAAGGCGACGAUGCGUAGCCGACCUGAGAGGGUGAUCGGCCACAUUGGGACUGAGACACGGCCCAGACUCCUACGGGAGGCAGCAGUGGGGAAUAUUGCACAAUGGGGGAAACCCUGAUGCAGCAACGCCGCGUGAGUGAUGACGGUCUUCGGAUUGUAAAACUCUGUCUUCAGGGACGAUAAUGACGGUACCUGAGGAGGAAGCCACGGCUAACUACGUGCCAGCAGCCGCCGUAA
rnacentral:rRNA from 1 species